UACGAAGGGGGCUAGCGUUGCUCGGAAUCACUGGGCGUAAAGCGCACGUAGGCGGGUCGUUAAGUCGGGGGUGAAAUCCUGGAGCUCAACUCCAGAACUGCCUUCGAUACUGGCGACCUUGAGUCCGGGAGAGGUGAGUGGAACUCCGAGUGUGGAGGUGAAAUUCGUAGAUAUUCGCAAGAACACCAGUGGCGAAGGCGGCUCACUGGCCCGGUACUGACGCUGAGACGCGAAAGCGUGGGGAGCGAACAGG
rnacentral:rRNA from 1 species